AGCUUGUGCUGCAUCUAUCCUUCCUUGGAUGUCUGAAACUCUUCUCUUCAUAUCCACGCACGGAAAUUUGUUGAAUGGAUUAUUGUAUUUGUUUCUAAGAUAGACGAACGUUAUUUUGUCAUGUUUAAUCUGUCAUUGCUUUGUCCCUUGGUUUUAAUUUAGAUGAUAUCUGUUCUCAUUGCCUCUUUCCCGCUGAAAGUGUGAUUCUCGGACUGAAAGUUUCGAUAUUUCAUGAAUUUUAGAUGUGGAGUUUGUGGAUUCUCUUUGUUCUGGAUAUUAAAUGUAAUUCGCUUUAUCAAAAAUGUUGACCAAUGAUGAUAAAUCUUAAGGCUUGUUUCUCAAAACAUUCGCAGUGGCCGCCUAAGAGCUUUCGCCUCGCCAGGCUUGAGAGUUUGUGCUGCAUUAUUCCUUCCUUGGAUGUCUGAGGUCUUCAUCUUAUGAUACUUGUUAUAUUACGUCGUCUUAUCCACAGUCAUAAGUUUCAAUUCUUUCGUUUUGGUCUUUGUAUUCUUUUGGUGGAUGUUCCGUCUAAGGUUCGAUUUCUCUAGAAGUGUAAACCAAUUCUCUAAUUAGAUAGCCACUCAGAUGAGUGGUUUAACAUCAA